CCAACCGGGAUUGCCUUAGUAACGGCGAGUGAAGCGGCAAAAGCUCAAAUUUGAAAUCUGGUACCUUCGGUGCCCGAGUUGUAAUUUGGAGAGGGCAACUUUGGGGCCGUUCCUUGUCUAUGUUCCUUGGAACAGGACGUCAUAGAGGGUGAGAAUCCCGUGUGGCGAGGAGUGCGGUUCUUUGUAAAGUGCCUUCGAAGAGUCGAGUUGUUUGGGAAUGCAGCUCUAAGUGGGUGGUAAAUUCCAUCUAAAGCUAAAUAUUGGCGAGAGACCGAUAGCGAACAAGUACAGUGAUGGAAAGAUGAAAAGAACUUUGAAAAGAGAGUGAAAAAGUACGUGAAAUUGUUGAAAGGGAAGGGCAUUUGAUCAGACAUGGUGUUUUGUGCCCUCUGCUCCUUGUGGGUAGGGGAAUCUCGCAUUUCACUGGGCCAGCAUCAGUUUUGGUGGCAGGAUAAAUCCAUAGGAAUGUAGCUUGCCUCGGUAAGUAUUAUAGCCUGUGGGAAUACUGCCAGCUGGGACUGAGGACUGCGACGUAAGUCAAGGAUGCUGGCAUAAUGGUUAUAUGCCGCCCGUCUUGAAACACGGACCUCCUGUGUGAGGGAACCCCCCCUAAA
rnacentral:rRNA from 1 species